rnacentral:lncRNA from 1 species
AUGUAAUACAUAAAAUAUUUGUUUGCUUUUUAUGAUUACGAACAAAUAUCGGCUGGCACCAUUUGUGCUGUCCUAUAUAUUUUUUCCUUGUAUGGUUUAAAUGCCAUUUCCCACGUUGUGGGGUCAGCUUAAUGAGCGAGUCCCAGACCACCUUGAAAAAACAUGAGGAGGAACCCCAGAUUCUCCAGCUGGAAACAGUACACUUCCUCUGCAGCUGAUGCCGACAAUAUUCAGAUUCGUCGACUGGACGGCAGCGGUGGUUGCUUGCUAUGCUUCCACACUGGAGAAUUCCGAUCCCACACCUCCAUUUUUUCAGAAAGAGUCCGGAUCUGGUGGUUCAGCCAUCCGCGGUAUGGGAUUACAUAAUGUCCAAAAUGCCAAGUACACUUUCUUUUAUAUCACAGCGAGGAUCUUUGUACUGCACGCAAUUUUUAGUAAUCUAGAUUUGAAUUUUAAAUGAUUAAAAUCGCUUAUCAACUCUGAAUAGAGUUCGACACAGAUACAAAAGUGGGCGCUUUACAGUGUGCUUAUAUCCAGUGCCGUAUAUAUUUUUAUAUAUAGUAAACUCUUGAGUAUUGCCAUAUAGUAUUUAACUUUUUAUACUCGAAUGAUUUCGAAUUUUAAUAGAAUCACGAAUAAAACUUAUCAUAUUUAUGUUAAAAACAAU